UACGAAGGGGGCUAGCGUUGUUCGGAAUUACUGGGCGUAAAGCGUGCGUAGUCGGUUAUCUAAGUCGGGUGUGAAAUCCCCGGGCUCAACCUGGGAAUUGCAUUCGAUACUGGAUAGCUAGAGUUCGGCAGAGGGAAGCGGAAUUUCGGGUGUAGCGGUGAAAUGCGUAGAUAUCCGAAGGAACAUCAGUGGCGAAAGCGGCUUCCUGGACCAGAACUGACGAUCAGGCACGAAAGCGUGGGGAGCGAACGGG
rnacentral:rRNA from 1 species